rnacentral:rRNA from 1 species
GCGGAGGGAUCAUUGCUGGAACGCGCCUCGGCGCACCCAGAAACCCUUUGUGAACUUAUACCUAUACUGUUGCCUCGGCGCAGGCCGGCCUCCCCACCGAGGCCCCCUGGAGACAGGGAGCAGCCCGCCGGCGGCCAACCAAACUCUUGUUUCUACAGUGGAUCUCUGAGUAAAAAACAUAAAUGAAUCAAAACUUUCAACAACGGAUCUCUUGGUUCUGGCAUCGAUGAAGAACGCAGCGAAAUGCGAUAAGUAAUGUGAAUUGCAGAAUUCAGUGAAUCAUCGAAUCUUUGAACGCACAUUGCGCCCUCUGGUAUUCCGGAGGGCAUGCCUGUUCGAGCGUCAUUUCAACCCUCAAGCCUGGCUUGGUGAUGGGGCACUGCCUGUAAGACGGGCAGGCCCUGAAAUCUAGUGGCGAGCUCGCCAGGACCCCGAGCGUAGUAGUUAUAUCUCGCUCCGGAAGGCCCUGGCGGUGCCCUGCCGUUAAACCCCCAACUUCUGAAAAUUUGACCUCGGAUCAGGUAGGAAUACCCGCUGAACUUAAGCAUA